CGCUACUUGCUCCGAAGAAGUCACCCUCGCUACGAUCAAAACUGUCGUAAAGGACACUCCCGAGUUGGAGGAUUAUUAGUGAAUCUAUUCUACUUUGGAUCUCUCUUCGACAUGAAGGAUCUUGAUUUUUUUGAUGACGAGAGAGAGGAUGCAGCUUGGUUUACGGUUCUGUUACUGAUGAGUCCACGGCAGUAUCUUCUUUGCAUCUGCCUUGGAAGAAGAUGCAUCAAACCUUAAAGAAGAAGAAACUGUUGUUAAUGAUCAAUUUGUGCAACCAAAGGAUGGAGUCAGUGAAUGAAGGAGAGGUUGUCCAUGGGCAGCAGGAACAAACCUACUAUACACGCAGGUGGAAGGAGGGAAGUCAAAGAUAUAUUACCAGAAACAGUAUGUGCCACGUGGAUCCCAACAGAGCUAGAGAGGUCAUCGAGAUGCUCGAAGAGGCCAUUCCAUUCCCCGGGGAGGUCGAGGUGGUUACUCGAAUGGGCCGUAUGAAUUUUAUGAUAAUUCUGGUGGAAACGGUUACCAAAGGAGCUACUACAACAACAGAGGAAGGGGACGUAGUGGUAGCGGUGGAAAUGACAAUUCAUAUGAAGUAAUGAUAAUAUUCAAAUGAGAGCCAGUUUAGGUAGCCAAGCAUAAGGCGUUACAUAUUCAUACAAACAUCACGAACAGUUAGCAUAGUGAUCUUAGCUUGUAAAUUGGUCAUGCAUACAUACAUGUGGUUUCGUUCUAGUCUACUAAUGAUUUCUCCU